rnacentral:rRNA from 1 species
AUUGAACGCUGGCGGCAUGCUUUACACAUGCAAGUCGAACGGUAACAGGGUGCCUGCACCGCUGACGAGUGGCGAACGGGUGAGUAAUGCGUCGGAACGUGCCGAGUAGUGGGGGAUAACGCAGCGAAAGUUGUGCUAAUACCGCAUACGUACUGAGGUAGAAAGUGGGGGACCUUCGGGCCUCACGCUAUUCGAGCGGCCGACGUCUGAUUAGCUAGUAGGUGAGGUAAAGGCUCACCUAGGCGACGAUCAGUAGCGGGUCUGAGAGGAUGAUCCGCCACACUGGGACUGAGACACGGCCCAGACUCCUACGGGAGGCAGCAGUGGGGAAUUUUGGACAAUGGGCGGAAGCCUGAUCCAGCCAUGCCGCGUGUAUGAAGAAGGCCUUCGGGUUGUAAGGUACUUUCAGCGGGGAGGAAGGUGUUGAGGUUAAUAACCUCAGCAAUUGACGUUACCCGCAGAAGAAGCACCGGCUAACUCUGUGCCAGCCGCCGCCGUAA